rnacentral:tRNA from 1 species
GCGAAGGUGGCGGAAUUGGUAGACGCGCUAGCUUCAGGUGUUAGUGUUCUUACGGACGUGGGGUUCAAGUCUCCCCUCGCACCA